rnacentral:rRNA from 1 species
UGCAUAUCAAUAAGCGGAGGAAAAGAAACCAACAGGGAUUGCCUCAGUAGCGGCGAGUGAAGCGGCAAGAGCUCAGAUUUGAAAUCGUGCUUUGCGGCACGAGUUGUAGAUUGCAGGUUGGAGUCUGUGUGGAAGGCGGUGUCCAAGUCCCUUGGAACAGGGCGCCCAGGAGGGUGAGAGCCCCGUGGGAUGCCGGCGGAAGCAGUGAGGCCCUUCUGACGAGUCGAGUUGUUUGGGAAUGCAGCUCCAAGCGGGUGGUAAAUUCCAUCUAAGGCUAAAUACUGGCGAGAGACCGAUAGCGAACAAGUACUGUGAAGGAAAGAUGAAAAGCACUUUGAAAAGAGAGUGAAACAGCACGUGAAAUUGUUGAAAGGGAAGGGUAUUGCGCCCGACAUGGGGAUUGCGCACCGCUGCCUCUCGUGGGCGGCGCUCUGGGCUUUCCCUGGGCCAGCAUCGGUUCUUGCUGCAGGAGAAGGGGUUCUGGAACGUGGCUCUUCGGAGUGUUAUAGCCAGGGCCAGAUGCUGCGUGCGGGGACCGAGGACUGCGGCCGUGUAGGUCACGGAUGCUGGCAGAACGGCGCAACACCGCCCGUCUUGAAACACG